GACGAACGCUGGCGGCGUGCUUAACACAUGCAAGUCGAACGGUGAAGCGCCUUCCUUUUUGGUGGGUGUGGAUGAGUGGCGAACGGGUGAGUAACACGGGAGUAACCUGCCCCCUUCUUCUGGAUAACCGCAGGAAAGUGUGGCUAAUACGGGAGAUUCUGGUGCUGUCGCAUGAUGGGUCGGGGGAAGAUAUUGUUUCGGUGGGGGAGGGGCUCGCGGCCUAUCAGCUUGUUGGUGGGGUGAGGGCCUACCAGGGCGGUGACGGGUAGCCGGCAUGGGAGGGUGGACGGGCAGACUGGGACUGAGGCACGGCCACGACUCGUACGGGAGGCAGCCGUGGGGAAUAUUGGACAAUGGGGGCGAGCCUGAUGCAGCGAGGCCGCGUGAGGGAUGGAGGCCUGCGGGUUGUGAACCUCUUUCGCUAGUGAAGCAGGCCUGCCUCGUUUGUGGGUGGGUUGACGGUAGCUGGAUAAGAAGCGCCGGCUAACUACGUG
rnacentral:rRNA from 1 species